AUUAGGACCUUGCGCCUGCGAUGGAGGCAGCAGCACCACUGAGCUACAUCUCCAGCAGAUGAAAAUUUAGGAUGAGAAGAUAAAUCACCCACAAAUUACUGAAGACUUUAAGAGGCCAAUAGCUUUCUUCUAAGAUCUGUCAGUGAUUUUCAGAAUCCUUACAUGCACAAGUUCCCGAGUACAGCUUGGUGUCUCCUCCUGUGUUGUUAGCCAGUUUUCCAUUGCUACGACCAAUAUGCAAGAUAAACAAGUUAAAGGCAGAAAGAUUUAUUUUAGUUUUUCGUUUCAGAGGUGUCAGUCCACGGUUUACUGGCUCCAUUGCCUGUGACCCUGCCUGGGGCUUCUCCUUGACUGUGGGAAGAUGGAAACCUUGAGGCGGAAAGAUGUGGGGCAGGAAACCUGCUUACCUCCUGUUAGCCGGGAUGCAGAGAAGACUGCCCAGUGAAAGACUCUGAGAUGAAGCUUCAUUAGCUUGGCGGAUGUUUCUGCUCUUACCAGAUAAUUCAGUUCUGGAAACCGGAAAGUCUAAGAUCAAGACACCAGAAGAUGCGCAUCUAGAGAAGCCCUGUCCCUGAUUAUGGUGCCUCUGGCUGUUUCCUCGCAUGGUGGAGGGGGUGAAGCUCCCUCAGGCCACUUUUAUAAGAGCACAAUCCUACUGGGCAUGUGGUAAACAUUUGUAAUCCCACCACUCUUGGAGACUGAGGCACGAAGAUUAAGGGUUCAAGCCCAGCCUGGGCAGCUUAGCUCAUUGUGGAGACCCUGAGUUCAAUACCCAGUACACAGGGUGGGAGCACUAACCCCAUUCAUGAGUGUGGAGCCCUCGUGACCUAACCACCUCCCAAAAUCUACUUCUUAAUACUAUCACCUUGGGCCAAAGGUUUCAACAUAUGACAUUUAGGGGAUACAAACAUUACC